CAGUCGCCGCGGGAACACGGAGGGGGCUAGCGUUGUUCGGAAUUACUGGGCGUAAAGCGCAUGUAGGCGGCUUGGUAAGUUAGAGGUGAAAGCCCGGAGCUCAACUCCGGAAUUGCCUUUAAGACUGCCGAGCUAGUAGGUGAGAGAGGUAAGUGGAAUUCCGAGUGUAGAGGUGAAAUUCGUAGAUAUUCGGAAGAACACCAGUGGCGAAGGCGGCUUACUGGCUCAUUCUAGACGCUGAGGUGCGAAAGCGUGGGGAGCAAACAGGAUUAGAUACCCCCGUAGUCCCUGUCUCUUAUAC
rnacentral:rRNA from 1 species